GCUGUCUCAGAUAGCCAUGCAUGUCUCAGUAUAAGCUUCUAUACGGCGAAACUGCGAAGGGCUCAUUAAAACUGUUAUAGUUUAUUUGGAGGUCAGCAAUUACAUUGAUAACCGAGGUAAUUCUAGAGCUAAUACAUGCGCCCAAACCCGACUUUGUGGAAGGGUUGUGUUUAUUAGAUACAGAACCAACCCAGGCCCAGCCUGGCCUUGAGGUGACUCAUAAUAACCGAACGAAUCACAUGGCUAUGCCGGCGAUAGACCAUUCAAGUUUCUGACCUAUCAGCUAUCGUCGGUAGGGUAUUGGCCUACCGUGGCAAUGGCGGGUAACGGAGAAUUAGGGUUCGAUUCCGGAGAGGGAGCCUGCAAAACGGCUACCACAUCUAAGGAGGGCAGCAGGCGCGCAAAUUACCCAAUCCUGACGCAGGGAGGUAGUGACAAGAAAUAACAAUACAGGGCAUACAUGUCUCGUAAUUGGAAUGAGUAAACUUUAAAUCACUUUA
rnacentral:rRNA from 1 species